rnacentral:rRNA from 1 species
GAUGAACGCUGGCGGCGUGCCUAAUACAUGCAAGUCGAGCGAACGGACGAGAGGCUUGCUUUUCUGAUGUUAGCGGCGGACGGGUGAGUAACACGUGGAUAACCUACCUAUAAGACUGGGAUAACUUCGGGAAACCGGAGCUAAUACCGGAGAAUAUUUUGAACCGCAUGGUUCAAAAGUGAAAGACGGUCUUGCUGUCACUUAUAGAUGGAUCCGCGCUGCAUUAGCUAGUUGGUAAGGUAACGGCUUAUCAAGGCAACGAUGCAUAGCCGACGUGAGAGGGUGAUAGGCCACACGGGAAGUGAGACACGGACCAGACGCCUGCGGGAGGCAGCAGUAUGGAAUCUUCCGCAAAGGGCGAGAGCCUGGCGGAGCAACGCCGCGUGAGUGAUGAAGGCCUUCGGAUCGUAAAACUCUGUUAUUAGGGAAGAACAUAUGUGUAAGUAACUGUGCACAUCUUGACGGUACCUAAUCAGAAAGCCACGGCUAACUACGUG